rnacentral:misc_RNA from 1 species
AAGUCGUAACAAGGUAACCGUAGGUGAACCUGCGGUUGGAUCAUUAACAAAUGAUUACUGGUUGGUUUGAGGGUCUUUGUGAUCCUCGCCGGCUGGUACUAACCUCUGUGCACUAUAAUUGUAUUUGGGUGCUAAGGAUUUCGAGCUUACGCCUGGAAUUCUGGUGCCCGCCAGUAUAAACCACUGAUUAAUUGACUGAUUUUUGUUUCUAUAAUGAAUCAAUAAUAACUUUUAACAACGGAUCUCUUGGCUCUC